CCUCGGGUGGCUGCAGUGGGGAAUAUUGGACAAUGGGCGAAAGCCUGAUCCAGCCAUGCCGCGUGUGUGAAGAAGGCCUUCGGGUUGUAAAGCACUUUCAGUGGGGAAGAAAGCCUUGGGGCUAAUACCCUCGAGGAAGGACAUCACCCACAGAAGAAGCACCGGCUAACUCCGUGCCAGCAGCCGCGGUAAUACGGAGGUGCGAGCGUUAAUCGGAAUUACUGGGCGUAAAGCGCGCGUAGGCGGUCUGAUAAGCCGGUUGUGAAAGCCCCGGGCUCAACCUGGGAACGGCAUCCGGAACUGUCAGGCUAGAGUGCAGGAGAGGAAGGUAGAAUUCCCGGUGUAGCGGUGAAAUGCGUAGAGAUCGGGAGGAAUACCAGUGGCGAAGGCGGCCUUCUGGACUGACACUGACGCUGAGGUGCGAAAGCGUGGGUAGCAAACAGGAUUAGAUACCCCUGUAGUC
rnacentral:rRNA from 1 species